UACGAAGGGGGCUAGCGUUGCUCGGAAUUACUGGGCGUAAAGGGCGCGUAGGCGGAUAUUUAAGUUAGAGGUGAAAGCCCAGGGCUCAACCCUGGAAUAGCCUUUAAUACUGGAUAUCUUGAGUUCGGGAGAGGUGAGUGGAAUUCCCAGUGUAGGAGGUGAAAUUCGUAGAUAUUGGGAAGAACACCGGUGGCGAAGGCGGCUCACUGGCCCGUUACUGACGCUCAGGCGCGACAGCGUGGGGAUCAAACAGG
rnacentral:rRNA from 1 species